UUUUCGUGUGGUGGUCAGGGCCAUUUUAUGAGAGAUUGUCCGUUGGCUAGCGGUUCUGGUAGUGUGGCUCAGCCGACAGGGUCAGCCGCCGGUUCAUCAUCUGCUCCAUCUGUUGCACGCCCUGGAGGGCGAGGUAUGCCAGCACCGGCAGGACGCGGUCGAGGCCGCGGUGGCGUUUCAGAUUCUAGCGGUCCCUCGAACCGCAUAUAUGCUUUGGCCAGCCGCCAGGAUCAGGAGGCUUCGCCAAACGUCGUCACAGGUACAGACAUUGGUGAUCCCCCAUUGUAGGCUCCACUUUUCUGCUAUCUCGGAGUACUCCUACUUGAUCCGGAGUCCACUUCUGGUAUAGACAUCUGUUGCUGUAUAUAUUUUGUAUAUUUGGCUGUUUGGGUACGGCGGGGCCCUGUCCCGCCAUAUGAUUCUGUCGGUCUGUUAGAGGUCUGUGGACAGGGUUGUGGGUUAUGGUCCUUAGGUAUGGUUAUGUGAACAUGUCGUUGUGCGAUUCUCAUAUACUGAGGCGGCCAGUCCGCAUGUUUUGAUUAGGCGAUUCUAUACGCCGAGGCGGCCAGUCCGCGUUUGAUAUAUGUAUAUAUAUUGUCCUGUUAGCCCUGA